AAAGAAUAAAGGCAAGGGAUUAUGACGACGGAUUCAUAUCCCCUUCUCCCAAACUCGUCUCUCACUCUCUCACUAUCUCUCUCGUCUGCUCGCUCUCUCUCUUUCUCUCUACUGAUUCUAGGAUGGAAUCACAUAAAUUGAUGGCAAAAUCGAAUUCUAUGAAAGGAUUCUUAGUAAAUCCUGUUUAGGUUUGAGGAAUUGAGAUUAAACAAAAAACCCCCAAAUUGAUUCUUCGAAGAGAGUGCUACAAGGUUUUAUCAAUGGAGUGUCGACGAUUGGGACCAACCGUCAAAAGCUUGAGACUUAAUCUUGAUGUUUGUGGUGGUUCUCGGCGAUUUUCUCCGACGCUAGUUGUCUGAAUCUGGCGAGGCUGCUGAAUUUUUAGGAGUCGAUUUGAGGGGGAAACGGGCGUCGCCUCUCGAGCCCCGGUUGGCAUUGUUGCAGCCCACUAAAGCACAAAUUCUUCAUGAGUUCUCAGGCCAGGUAGUGACUUCUCUCAGCGGUCAUUUAAACAAGGUUAUAACUUAUAAAUGCCAAAUUUGCAGUUGAGGCUAAAGUUUAGUUGGUGGCUCUACUGAUAAGGCACCCAAUUUCAGGCACCCGUAGAGAGGCAGAGGCAGUUGAAGCUAAUGAUAUUACUUCAAUCAAGUUCCAGAUGUGAAUGUUGUCAGCGGUUUUAAGUUCAAUUUAAUCGGCGAGGCAGUGUUUGGUUUCUUUGGUUGCUACUGUAUAUAGAUUGAUCACUGAUUUAAUUCACUUGUCAACAAUUAAUUAGUUAGGUGCUAAUAUGUAGUAACCAGCUAUCAAUUCAAUUUUUUUUCCUUACAAUU